AUGGUUAUUCUGGAAGUACAUCAGUACGUUCAGGGAAGCUCCAGCCCUUGUCAAUGGAGCAGAAAGAAGAGCAAGGAGAAGUUGGUGAAGCUGGGGCAAAGUGAGGAUAUGUGUGCGUGCAGGUCACUCAGUAUGGGAAAUGGAUUGUGGAGUAAUCAGAGUGGCUGUGGGGAGACCUCUUAGGAAGAAAUUACAGUUCAGUAUUCUAAAUAGGAGGAGUAGCCACAGAGAUGGGAAAAAAGUGAAUGAAGUCAAAACAUAAUUCAGAGGAGAGGCCUCCCUUUGUUCUUCAUAGCCACCUUUGGAUUUGUGAGCCCUCACAUCAGGAUCUACUAACAGGUUAUGUCCAUGCUGCAGAUAUAAAGGAUGAAGUUGUAGGGCAGGAAGUCUUAUGUAACUUGGAGCAGCUACUCAAUGGAAAUCACAAACAGAAUGAGUUUCAUCCACAUGUCAAGACACUACUACCAACAGAGCUAUUUCAGGACACCUACCUAAAUAACUAGCUGUCUCUUCCACUUAAAGCAAGGGCGUAUAAUGGAGUUAGGAUGACUGGAUACACAUGUAAGUCAUCAUCUUUACGUGCUUAUUGUCACUUGGAUCUGGCAGGUUGACUAUUGAAUAGUACCCGACUGGCACUAAUAAAAUUGCUAAACUGCUGUAAGAGUCUUCUCUUAUCUUCAAGAAGAAUAAAAAGUGAAGCUGACAUUACUUGGAAAGAGAAUAAACAAAAUCUGUCAUGAGGACUGCAGGGAUGAAUGACACAAACCAGCCAUUUCUUUGAGAGUCAGGAAAUAUCUAGUUUAUACAAUAAGCUGAUCUACCAAUAAAAUACAAUUGGUGUUGAAAU
rnacentral:lncRNA from 1 species